UGGGGGCGGAAUAGAUAUGGAGGCCAUUAUCGAAUGGGAAACAAAGAGCAAUGCUAAGGACAUUAGGAGAAAGGGACUGAAAGGCCUCAGAGGUAUCCAUGUGAUAGCAAGAAAGAGAUGGGGAAACAGGUGGGUGUGUUACCUCACUAACAAAGCCCCACACAAGGAGAGGCUCCAAUCAGGGAUUUCGGGGUAGAUGUCCAAUCGAUGGGGUGUUGAGAUCUGGCAGCUUCCAAGCCUGAGAGGGAGCGUACAAGGAAGAAGGAGGGCAUGGGGCAUUCCAAAAAGAUAAGUGGGGGAA
rnacentral:lncRNA from 1 species